UCAGAAUGUUUUUAUCAUCCCAGAAUGCCCUAUUGGAUACAGCUGCUCCAAACAGUGCUGGAUCUCAGAUUUCUCCACCAUCACCCUUGGCUGACUAGGUCUGGCUCCUCAGAGAUGAAACAGGAUGGGAUAUUCAUUGACUAUUCAGUGUCAUAACGGCAGAGCAACAAGACUGGUAACCAGGCUUUCUCAUCCCUAGUUGAAAAAGCAAGGCCUUUUCCUUUGUGUAUUUUAGAGGGAAAUCAAGGAAUUUUUAAAAUUCCUCCUCAAAACAAUGGCUGGCUUGUAAGGCCAUUGUCUUCCCACAGAAUGCGGUUUUAUUUUCAGUGGAGGCGGGGAUUAUUACUUGCACCUUUGUCUUUGCAUUCUAUAUGUAAGAUUUCUAAUCUCCACAUCCUCCACUUGUGUUUUCCCACCCCACCCAUGCAGGCAGAGGGAAGCCCUGGUCCC
rnacentral:lncRNA from 10 species